UACGGAGGGAGCUAGCGUUGUUCGGAAUUACUGGGCGUAAAGCGCACGUAGGCGGCUUUGUAAGUUAGAGGUGAAAGCCCGGGGCUCAACUCCGGAAUUGCCUUUAAGACUGCAUCGCUAGAAUUGUGGAGAGGUAAGUGGAAUUCCGAGUGUAGAGGUGAAAUUCGUAGAUAUUCGGAAGGAACACCGGUGGCGAAGGCGGCGCUCUGGACCGAGACUGACGCUGAGGCGCGAAAGCGUGGGGAGCAAACAGG
rnacentral:rRNA from 1 species